UAGGGAAUCUUGCGCAAUGGGCGAAAGCCUGACGCAGCAACGCCGCGUGCGGGAUGAAGGCCUUCGGGUUGUAAACCGCUUUCAGAAGGAACGAAAAUGACGGUACUUUCAGAAGAAGGUGCGGCCAACUACGUGCCAGCAGCCGCGGUGACACGUAGGCACCAAGCGUUGUCCGGAUUUAUUGGGCGUAAAGAGCUCGUAGGCGGUUCAGUAAGUCGGGUGUGAAAACUCUGGGCUCAACCCGGAGACGCCACCCGAUACUGCUGUGACUUGAGUUCGGUAGGGGAGUGGGGAAUUUCUAGUGUAGCGGUGAAAUGCGCAGAUAUUAGAAGGAACACCGGUGGCGAAGGCGCCACUCUGGGCCGAAACUGACGCUGAGGAGCGAAAGCGUGGGUAGCAAACAG
rnacentral:rRNA from 1 species